ACCUUUGCGCAGUGGCAGUAUCGUAGCCAAUGAGGUUUAUCCGAGGCGAGAUUAUUGCUAAUUAAAAAUCAAACCACACUAAGAUACAACCUUACGCCACUUAGAAUGGCAAAAAGUGACAAGGCAAGAAACAACAUUUGC
ensembl:snRNA U4 U4 spliceosomal RNA